ACGGAAGGCAGCAGUGAGGAAUAUUGGUCAAUGGUCGGAAGACUGAACCAGCCAAGUAGCGUGAAGGAUGACUGCCCUAUGGGUUGUAAACUUCUUUUAUGCGGGAAUAAAAAGGAUUACGUGUAGUCUGUUGCAUGUACCGCAUGAAUAAGGAUCGGCUAAUUCCGUGCCAGCAGCCGCGGUAAUACGGAAGAUCCGAGCGUUAUCCGGAUUUAUUGGGUUUAAAGGGAGCGUAGGCGGGCCUUUAAGUCAGUGGUCAAAGCGUGUGGCUCAACCAUACCACGCCGUUGAUACUGGAGGCCUUGAGUGCACAUAAGGAUGGUGGAAUUCAUGGUGUAGCGGUGAAAUGCUUAGAUAUCUCGAAGAACUCCGAUUGCGAAGGCAGCUUGCUGGGGCGCAACUGACGCUGAGGCUCGAAGGUGCGGGUAUCAAACAGGAUUAGAUACCCUGGUA
rnacentral:rRNA from 1 species